rnacentral:rRNA from 1 species
GUGGGGAAUUUUGGACAAUGGGCGCAAGCCUGAUCCAGCAAUGCCGCGUGCAGGAAGAAGGCCUUCGGGUUGUAAACUGCUUUUGUACGGAACGAAACGGUUCUCUCUAAUACAGGGGGCUAAUGACGGUACCGUAAGAAUAAGCACCGGCUAACUACGUGCCAGCAGCCGCGGUAAUACGUAGGGUGCAAGCGUUAAUCGGAAUUACUGGGCGUAAAGCGUGCGCAGGCGGUUUUGUAAGACAGAGGUGAAAUCCCCGGGCUCAACCUGGGAACUGCCUUUGUGACUGCAAGGCUGGAGUGCGGCAGAGGGGGAUGGAAUUCCGCGUGUAGCAGUGAAAUGCGUAGAUAUGCGGAGGAACACCGAUGGCGAAGGCAAUCCCCUGGGCCUGCACUGACGCUCAUGCACGAAAGCGUGGGGAGCAAACAGGAUUAGAAACCCGUGUAGUCC